rnacentral:rRNA from 1 species
AUUGAACGCUGGCGGCAGGCCUAACACAUGCAAGUCGAGCGGAAGCAGGGUAAUAGCUCCCGGUUACAGCGGGCGAGUGGCGGAUAGGGGCUAAGAACAUCGGAAUCUACGUUUGCUUAGGUGAGAAAACGGGGGCAAAUACGCUAUAAGCGCAGAGGGAGAAAGGGGGAGAGCUUCGGAUCUCAGGACAUUACAUGAGCGUAUGUCGGAUUAGCUAGUUGGUGGGUUAAAGGCCUACCAAGGCGACGAUCCGUAACUGGUCUGAGAGGAUGAUCAGUCACACUGGAACUGAGACACGGUCCAGACUCCUACGGGAGGCAGCAGUGGGGAAUAUUGGACAAUGGGCGAAAGCCUGAUCCAGCCAUGCCGCGUGUGUGAAGAAGGUCUUCGGAUUGUAAAGCCCUUUUAGUUGGGAAGAAGAGCAGUAGGUUAAUACCUUGCUGUUUCGACGUUACCAACAGAAUAAGCACCGGCUAACUUCGUG